rnacentral:rRNA from 1 species
CCUACGGGUGGCAGCAGUGGGGAAUAUUGGGCAAUGGAUGCAACUCUUACCCAGCAAUGCCGCGUGAAUGAAGAAGGUCUUCGGAUUGUAAAAUUCUUUAAUUAGUGACGAAAAAAAUGACGGUACCCAAGUAAUAAGCCUCGUCUAACUACGUGCCAGCCGCCACGGUAAUCCGUAGGGGGCACGCGUUGUUCGGAAUUACUGGGCGUAAAGUGUGUGUAGGCGGUUUAGCAAGUUCGAAUUGAACUACCUAGGGCUUAACUCUGGUGCUGCUUCUAAAACUGCUAUACUUGAGUGCAGUAGAGGAAAGUGGAAUUCAUAGUGUAGCGGUGGAAUGCGUAGAUAUUAGGAGGAACAUCAGUGGCGAAGGCGACUUUCUGGACUGUAACUGACGCUGAGGCACGAAAGUGUGGGGAGCAAACAGGAUUAGAUACCCCGGUAGUC